GGUCGACGUAGCUUAAUGGUUGAGCACCGGGUUGUGGGUCCGGGUGGUGUUGGUUCGAUUCCAAUCGUCUACCG
rnacentral:tRNA from 1 species